UGUGUAGGCGGAAAAGUGUGUGCUUUGUGAAAUCCCUCGUCUCAACCGAGGAAUGGCUUGGCAGACUACUUUUCUUGAGGUAAACAGGGGUGCCUGGAACUCUUGGUGGAGCGGUGAAAUGCGUAGAUAUCAAGAGGAACGCCUGUGGUGAAGACGGGGCACUAGGUUUAUUCUGACGCUGAGACACGAAAGCGUGGGGAGCGAACGGGAUUAGAUACCCCGGUAGUCCACGCUGUAAACGAUGCCUACUAGGUGUUGGGGAUACUGACAUUCUCAAGACCGGAGCAAAAGUGUUAAGUAGGCCGCCUGGGGAGUACGGUCGCAAGGCUAAA
rnacentral:rRNA from 1 species